GUGGUUACCUAAGUGUUGUGAGAACCAAGGCGAGUGUUUUUGGUGACUCAGGAUAAUUACGUAAGUGUUUUCAUACCGGAUAUACCUUCUAAGGCUGCAGAAGGAAGCUGUGUACGGGUAAAAGUCAGCAGUGGACUUACCGAAGCUCUGUGACGUCAGGACAAAGGGAAGAGUUGAGGUCCGCCACUGCACUGAUCGUCCUCGGUCCGCCGACUCGCUGGAAGUGCGUUGGUGGAGAAGAGGAAACUGGGCCAGAAUAAACCGUGGUUGUAUAUCCAUAAACCCCCUGUCUAUGUGGGCCGUCGCUCCCUGAUGAAGAGUCGUGAGGGGCGAGGCGUGGAGGCAGAAUGGGGCGCAAGGAAGCGAGUGAUUUGUCGCCGAUGAAUGAGGAAGAUGUCUCACUUUUCCUGACAUAAGUGGCGUGGAAAGAAAAGGGUUGCAUCUGUUCGCGCGUAAUACCAUACGGGAAGCACACGAGGGAAAAAACGUAAUCAGGUGUAGCAUGAGAAACACAACCUGAAUCACUGGGAAUAUCAUUAUAAGCUCCACGCCAUUCACGUCACGCAUGCCUCAUAAAAGAAGAAAGAAGAAAAACCAACAGCCAUCUAUACCAACCCAAUGCACGUCUAUUCAUUCCCUCACCCGCACUGUACGAGUACCUCCCCCAUGCUUCUCACUGUCACCUGUCCAUUCGAACUUGAUUUACGGAUGCACCAACACGUAGGCAGAUCAAAG